GUGGGGAAUAUUGGACAAUGGGCGAAAGCCUGAUCCAGCCAUGCCGCGUGUGUGAAGAAGGUCUUCGGAUUGUAAAGCACUUUAAGUUGGGAGGAAGGGCAGUAAGUUAAUACCUUGCUGUUUUGACGUUACCGACAGAAUAAGCACCGGCUAACUUCGUGCCAGCAGCCGCGGUAAUACGAAGGGUGCAAGCGUUAAUCGGAAUUACUGGGCGUAAAGCGCGCGUAGGUGGUUUUGUAAGUUGGAGGUGAAAUCCCCGGUCUCAACCUGGAAACUGCCUCCAAAACUGCAUGACUAGAGUACGGUAGAGGGUAGUGGAAUUUCCUGUGUAGCGGUGAAAUGCGUAGAUAUAGGAAGGAACACCAGUGGCGAAGGCGACUACCUGGACUGAUACUGACACUGAGGUGCGAAAGCGUGGGGAGCAAACAGGAUUAGAAACCCGGGUAGUCC
rnacentral:rRNA from 1 species